AUCACUUGAUUUACUUUACAAUGGACAAAGAAUGCAACAUAGAAAAGUAUCCCUAUUGUAUACAGAUCUACAAUCAACAGAUGCCACGUUGGAUGUACUUGAAAAAUUCCGUAUGAAAUGACAUGGAUCAUAAAGUUUGCAUACAUCAGGGUCAGGGACAUAUUGCUUGGAGAUUUGCCGAACACCAGCAGCGUAUAAGAUAAUCGUUCUCAAAUAGCGUAAAAAUAUGGUAUAUCAAGAUGCCACGUUGGAUGUACUUGAAAAAUUCCGUAUGAAAUGACAUGGAUCAUAAAGUUUGCAUACAUCAGGGUCAGGGACAUAUUGCUUGGAGAUUUGCCGAACACCAGCAGCGUAUAAGUUUGAAAUAAAUCUGACAUUUCCAACAGAGAUUUGUUUUUAAAGCUUUAAAGCCUUGAUAAUGCAUGUUCAUUUAAAUAGGACUGAUGCAAACAUAACCAAUAUGGCAGACGUUGUCGGUCAUAAACAAAUACCAAAUCAAGUGAAUGGCUCUUAGGGCCAGCCGUAAGCGUCAUACCAGUGGAUGUCAUCAGUUAGAAUUCAAAAUAUUACCAAUGAUAAGGGAGAUAAUCCGAAUAGAAAGUGUAGGGAGCAAAGCCCACCAGAGAGCAUUCAUCAGUGACACUGACACAGAAGUUUUCUAAAUUAGUUGACGCUGAUUGACACCUUUGACAUGGUAAACAAUAGUUAACAUGCCUUGAACUCUGGUGCUGGUACGAUGAUCAAAUACAUGUAUUGAAAAUUUGUUGAAGAAAAAUAAAAUAUUAUGAUCAAUGUAGAAAAUAAAUAUUAUAAUCAGGUGGAAUUCAUAUGUGUCAUUAUUUAUUCAGGACUUCAACAAAAUAAAGAGGGUUGCGUUCGUUUUUCACUUUGGAAUAUGAUUAAAAUUCGUUUUUAUUUAGAAAAAUGUUGCCAUGGUAACCAGUCAAAAUCAGUGAUUUAUAAUUCUAAGCUAAUGUGUCUGGAUAUGUAAAAC